AAUCUAAAGAGAUUAAUUCUUGAGGAUAAUAAGUUGAGUGGACCAAUUCCUUACUCGUUGGGGGAUUUGAGACAGCUUGAAGAACUCAUAUUGUACAAUAAUACCUUAUCGUCUCCGCACCUAAGUAUCUUUUCUUCCUUGACCAACUGCAGAUCUUUACGACAAGUAAUGUUAGCAAAUAAUCCUCUGAAUGGAGUUCUUCCAGAUUCCAUUGGAAAUCUAUCCACUUCUAUGGAAAUAUUUGAUUUAUCUCUUUCUGAAAUUAGGGGUUGGA
rnacentral:misc_RNA from 1 species